CCGGCCUUAGCCUGGAGGAGCAACCCUGGUCCAGAGAGGCAGACGAAUGGCAGCCCUGCCCCGUGGGGGCUCCGGUUCUUCUCCUCCAUCCUCCUCCAGGCUCCGCCCACCUGCUCCGUCUGCCUCCCAGGGCCUCGUGAAUCCCAGGGAAGCCAUGAGCUGCCACAUCACGCCCGGAAGGAAGCGGGCUGCGUUGGAGGGGAAAAGACGCACCAGCAGCCUAGAAUUCGAGGCACUGCAGAGCCGGAAGGGGCCUCGGCGCUGCUCCCUCCGCCCCCUCAUUUCACAAACCGGAAACUGAGACCCAAAGCAAGGAAGGGACUUGGCCAAGUUGAAGAGAUGAAGGCGCAGAGGCAUGAACUCCCGUAGCCAGAGAGUGUGAGCUGGACUCUACCUGGAGCAGCCUCGGUGCAGAGCCCAUGCCCCCAACCAUGUCCGUGGUCGAGGCCCAGCCCAGACAGGGCACAAAGGGGCUGAGGAAGAGGAAGUAAGAUGCCAGGGUUGCCAUGCAGGAGGGCAACCCCAAGUGAGAUGGGCAUCGUGGCCUAGGGCCCACCUUCCGGAAGAGCUCAUCAGAACUUCGGACACACUGCAUGGGCCUAGACCCAGGGCUCGUUGAGCUCCUCCCUCGGAUUGGCUUCGAAUUUUAGGUGAAUCCUCUCUAGCAGCCACAUUCACCCUUGCAAGCCUGCACUUUGUCAUCUUCUGAAAAGGUGCAGGAACAUGAUGCCCAGCUGACUCCCAGGGAGCGGGAGCCCCAGAGGCCAGCGGAGCACAGCCGCAGCAGGCAGAUCUGUUGGGAAACCACGGGAGUAUAGGAGCAGGGCUGGGGGCACCUGAGGGACUGUGGAGCCUGAAUUAUUGAAACGCUUAGAGUAAAGCAGAUUUAGAUUUCACAAAGACAGAGGUGAAGGUGGGUGAAGACGGAGGGAAGGAUUUAAAGGGAAAGAGAAAGAGGAAAGAUAAGAAUGAGGGAGAAAGAGGAAGAGAGAAAGAAAAAGAGAAAUAGAGUUAUCGAAGAUGACUGCAAGUCUGGCCUCUCUCAACCCAAGGAGCCAAGGAGGGGAAGGCCGGCCUGAGCAGCAACGUAGACAAGAGCUCAGGAGGGCAGGGACAGAGCCCUGGCUUCAGCAAGAGCGUGGGGAACAGAGGGCAAGGGGGUCCAUGCAGCCCAGGAUGGCAGGGUGCUCAUACACACAGCCUUGGUCCUGUCCCCUCUCCCAUUGCCGCUUUUGAGCUCACCUUGUUUAAGGCCAAAGCACACACCAUCCUCCCACAGAGCCACUAAUGCAAUUAACAAAACACAUUCAUAAAUCUUGCAUGGCGUCCGGAGCUGUCUCCUCUCCCUAAGCACAAAGGCCAGCUCCAGAGAUGCUGUGCAGAGAGCUGUCUGACCUCUCCAGCGUCAGGGCCCCCUGAAAAGUGCAGCAUAACCCUUAGUAGGACAGAAAGACCAUUGUCUUCUGCCAACCAUUACAAAGUGGAGUGGGGCUGGGGUUAGGAAACACAGACAAAUCAGAAGAGGCUGAGAAGGCGGAGAUGAAAGUGCAUAGGUGUUUGCAGGGAGCUGGGGAAUAGUUCGUGCCUUCCAAGCUCAACAAGAGAGCAUUCAGCAGAGACCAGAGAAUCACCACUUUUGGAGGGUGAUUUUACCUUGUGAGAACAGAGCACAGGGUGUGUGGGACCCAGGGCAUCUUCGGCAAUGCGGGCGUGACUUGGCGGGAUGUCGGUGUUUGUGUUUGCAUGUGUGUGUGCGUGCGUGCAUGCUCAGUCUGGAAAACUGGUGACUCACUAAAACACCGAGCUUUCUGAUCUGAAGAGCUUAUAUUCGGCUAUUUUUAGCUCGUCUUGUCUCUUGGCCCUUUUUUUCCCCUUGUCUGUUUUCAAAUGUAGAGGAGUCUGGAGACCAUGAAUGCCGUGUGUGUGUGUCUGCUAAUUUAGAGCUUGGGCCCAGAGGUGGGUACCCCUGAAGGUGCAGAGAUGAAGGCACGUGGGGUGUAUGUGUGUACAGCAGGGACACACUGACACAGACAGGGUGCACAUGCUCUUAUUCUGGCAUGUACACACGCGUACCAUGCAUACGUGCAAGCAGGAGUGAGGCCAGAAACGUCCCUGGAAACUCCGGCCUACACUCUCUUCACGUGGGUUGGUGUACAGCUACCCACUAUGCAUACUUCACAAGUAUAACUGCCUCCCCACCCCAGCCCCUGCCUCACACGACCCAGGUGGGCACACUCUCAUGAGGCACAUGGCCACAGGCACAGUCUGGGCCUAUCUUGGGGAAUGGCCCCAGCCCCUGUGCCUUGUUUCUUCUCUGUUCAGCCACUCUUCCAAAAAUUAUGACUUCUUCUCAAGAAGGCCUUUCUCUGCUGGUUGGCAAUAGGAAACACGAAGUGCCAGCUUCUGCACUUGGCUUCUCCUGGGACUCAUUCAGCUGAUCCCACCUGCCCACCACCAUUGGCCGAGACCGCCUCCCCAGUCCAGUGGUCAUCCAGCUACAGGGGGUCUGGCAACUGCUUAGAGAGGCCAGGCAGGGGUCAAUGCUGUGUGAGCUCCGUUCCUCUAGCCGGGAGAGAGGGAGAAAGGAGAGCGAGCUCGGAUUGCCAUCUGCCUAGGUGCAGUGUGGGGCAGGCGGGGAGCGGAGCUCGGACUGCCGUCUGCCUAGGUGCAACGUGGGGCAGGCAGGGAGCGGACAGCACUCUUCAAGGCUCUAGAACGCUGGUGGGUUCCUGGACCUUGACUCUGUGUGACAGGACUGUGUAUGCAACCCAGUGUCAAGAGCAGAAAUGCGCAAAUGCUGCCUAUGACCAGUGCCUCAGUGAUGCGGCACGCCUGGGAAAGGGCACCCACAGCCUCUCUUUCCACACAGCACACAUGCUGUGCACUCACGCACAGCAGCACGUGCCUGCAUGCACACACUCUUAGAAGCCUGCGUGAGAGAGAACACGAGCCUUCGUUACUCCAGACACCAAAGCAAGCUCUGAGCUGCAUCAUCCCUCAAGUCUGCAGUUUAGGCAUGGCUCAGAGGCCCCAGCCAAGGCGGCCAAAACCCAGCCAUGUGUUGCUCCUUAAGCCAUGUCUUCUGCUGAGAGUCUGCGUCAGCCCAGAGGAGGGGCCCUCGGUCUCCCUUGCCUGCCGGGAGGCCCUGUGGUUCCUGGUGUCCAGUGGGCUCAGCGUCACGUCCUGGAAGGAGCCACUACCCGCCUACUGCCCCACUGCAUUCCACUCCACACACAUUUGGGGAUCCAGCGCUCUGUGCAAGGCACUCCAUGUCAUCAUGAUGAAGGAGGACCAGCCGGAGUCCCCACCCCCAGACCCCUGCCCCAAGAUAGGCUGGCACAGAAUAAGAUGCCUGCACAAUUAGCCAUUGCAGGACUCGUCACCCAGGGUGUGUGUGGUCAUGAGCCACGCAGAAGGGAUAAUUCUCUCUUCCUCCUGGGGCCUGGGGGCCUUCACAGAGAACAGGACAGGGGCUUUUGCCUGGGCCCUGAAUAAUGAACAGAUCUCCCCAGGCCAAAGAGGAACUUCUCAGGCAGGGAACUGGCCUGCAUGAAGGUGUGGGAUUGGGAAGCGUGGACAGGGGCUCGUGGGGAGAAAUCAGAUCUUGCCAGCAGACAGACUGGAGCUCAAGCCUGCCUGACUUGCCUCCG
rnacentral:lncRNA from 1 species